rnacentral:lncRNA from 1 species
GCUUGGGAGAUUUGUAUAGUGUUGCUUGGAUGGAGGACAGGUAUCUUCAUGUUGUUCCUUUUCCAUACUUGAUUUCUGCUUCAUUGAUUAUCAUGUUGACUUGUGCUCAUUUUCUGCAGUGAAACUCACAAUUUGAAGAAAGAAACUGUAAAGCAACAAUAUCGAGCGGUAUGAUCAUAUGCUAAGUCAAAACUUAAUUGGGAAUUAGAUACUAAAUCUGUCUUGAUUAGUUCCUGAGUUAGGUGUUGGUAGUGCAGGUAAAAGCUCGAACAUCGAAUUAUAAUACUUACAGUGUUGGAUCCCAUGUGAUGGAAUAUGGAAAUAAAACUCUCAAAGGAGAGAAGCUUUAUUUAUAUCAAGGCUUUGAUCCUGCCAGUCUCAACUUUCCCCCAAACCAUUUGAGUCUACCCAUGGGAGUUAUUAACCAAAGAGACGCUGAUCUUCUCUUCUUAUGGCAUAUGGUAUAGAUCUACCUUCUUUCUUCUUUUUCACAUUUCUCUCAGUUACGUUCUCAGUCUAAAAUUUUUAAUUGAUUAUUGCAUUGCAUGAGACUGGACAUGCCCAUUUUGAAUUGGUUAAUUAUAUGUGAAAUCGCAGUAUAAAAAUUCAGAUAACAAGGCAGAGAUUCUGAAGGAGAUUAUAGAGAUAAUAAGGCACAGAAAGCAUAUAGAUGGGAGCAUUGAGUUAAUUGGGUCUAUUUUGUACGGACCAACAAAGGCUUCUUCAACCCUUACUUCUGUUAGAGCUCCCGGUUUACCCUUGGUUGAUGACUGGCAAUGCCUAAAAUCGACGGUAACAUGCUGUUUUUCAUUAUGUUAUUUGGUUAUCUUUAGCUGUAUUAUUGACUUUCGAUUUGGUUGUAGGUUCGGACAUUUGAAACGUAUUGUGGGUCACUGACUCAAUAUGGCAUGAAACACAUGCGAGCAUUUGCAAAUAUUUGCAACAGCGGAGUUCCUCAGGCAUCGGUGGAGGAAGCUUGUGCUGCUGCCUGUAGGGGUUAUGAGCUGAGUCAAUGGCACCCCGUGAACAAAGAUUAUAGUGCUUGAGUCAAACCAAUAUAUUAUUGAUGUGACAACUUAGUAACAUUAUGCAUAUUACAGUACUACUUUUUUCUUCUCUCCUGGUGUGUUCUCUUUUACUUUUCAUUUUUGUUUUUUUUUUUUCGGUGGUUUAGGAUACAUAUAGCAAGAAGAAUGUAUCAGGUUGAUAUAGUCUUUUAAUAGAAAUGGUAUGGUUGGACAUUUGUGUUUUUUUUUUCUUUCUUUGGUUCUACGAAAACAGGGAAACAUGGACUGGUCCAUUAGAAUCCCAAGUACUAUUUUUUGUUUUUUAAAAAUGUUGAGAAAAAAUUAUUUAAUAUCAAACACUCAAAUAUGUAGAGAAAAAUAUUCGAAGAAAAAGGUACAAAUUUUUGGCAGGUGGGAUCGAAGUUUCUAUCAAAUGAGUUGUUAAAUCGUGGAUGUUAGUGGGGAAUCUCUAAAAAUACAUUACAAGACAAUCAGUGAUUUGGUUAUUGCACAUAUUUCCAACUCCAUUCUACGGCCUGAAUCAAAUCUCUCCCGGUUACCGUACAAGCAAUAUUUGUUAAAAAUGCAAAAAUAUAAAAUUUAAGAUAAUUAAAAAGAUAUAUUAAAAAUAUAUAUAUAUUAUAUUUAAUCUGAAUGAAAUAUUAUAAGAUAAUAUAAAAAAUUUCUAUUAUAAGUAAUUAUCUAUUUAUUUAUUUAAUUAUUAUUAAAAUUUGUCAUCUAAUUUUAAUUUUUUAUUAUUUUGUUUUAAUUUAAGAUAGUUUAUUAUUUUUUUAACUAAUAAUUUAAUAAAAUAAAUUAAUUCUAACAAUUUAUUCAUAUAAUUUAUUCGACAUGCCAAUCAUAUUUUGGUUGUAUAUGAAUUUUUUUUUUGUCAACACUGUUGUGAAAAUAUCAGUCAACUACUGUUCUACAAAAGCUGAAUUGUAUCUCUUGGUGCUCGACUGCUUCUUGAAUGUAAUGAUACUUGAUAGUAUUAUGUUUGGUUCUAUCAUAACUAACUCGAUUUUUAUUAAUUACAAUUGUUGUUGUAUUGUCACAGAAUUUUAUUGUUGAUUCUUCUUACUUUUCAAUGAUGUCUUCUAAAAUCCAUUUUAACCAAACUGCUUGUGUGACAGCACGAUCUGCUACAAUGUAUUCAGCUUCAGCUAAUGAUAAUACCACUACACUCUACUUCUUUGGCAACUAUAACAAAGACCAGAUCUGAGUGAAAAAAUAUAUCUUGAUGUACUUCUCAUGUCAUCAACACAUCUGACCCAAUCACUAUCUAUAUAGUCGAUCAAUUUUGAAUUUUCUAUUGGUCUAUACCAUAUUUCAUAAUCUAUUGUAUUUUUAAUAUAUCUGAGCACUCUUUUUACAACUGUGAAGUUUAAUUGACACGGGUUGUAGGCUAACAACAAACAUGAUGUUUGAUCGUGUUGCAGUCAGAUAUAACAAACUUCCAACUAAACUCUUGUAGGUGGUUUCAUCUGUCAUCUUUACUCCAUCUUUUUUUAGCUUUUUAUUGGCCAUUAGGGGUGUUGUAACUGAUUUGCAAUCUUACAUAUUAAAUUUUUUCAAAAUAUUUUCUGCAUAUUUUUUCUGUGAUAUAAAGACGUCUAUAUAACCUUAGCAUACUUCUAUACCUAGAAAAUAAUGCAGCAAGCCAAGAUUAUUCAUCUCAUAUGUCUCCAUCAUAUUUUUUUUGAAUUCUCAAAGCAUUGUUUCAUUAUUGCAUGUGUAAAUUAAAUCAUCAACAUAGAAUGAGACAAUUAAAAUAUCAGUACCUAUUUUCUUGACAUAAAAAAUCGGCUCACUCUUGCUUUUUUGAAAUUCUUUUUGCGUGAAGUACUUGUUUAUCUCACCAUAUCAUGCUCUUGGUGCUUGCUUUAGGCCGUAUAGUGCUUUCUUUAGCUUGUAUACUUUGUUCUCUCCCCUUCAACUAAAAAUCCUUUUAUAUGUUCGACAUAAAUUUCUUCGUCAAGACAACCAUUCAAAAAGGCUGAUUUGACAUCAAGUUGAUAUAAUUGCCAACCUUUUUGAGCUAUCAGAGCAAUAAUAGUUCUAAUUACUUCUAGUCUUGCUGUAGGAGCAAAAGUCUCAUAAUAGUCAAUACCAUACUUUUGCUUAAAGUCUUUUGCCACGAGUCUUGUUUUAUAUUUCUAAACUGAUCAAUUUGGCUUCAAUUUUAUCUUAUAAAUCCAAUUAUGUAAUAUCUCGAACCCCAAUAUCGGUUGGUACGGACGUUAGCACAAUAUUUCCAACUAGUGGAACAAAUAAAUAUUAAAUAUGUAGCGGAACUAUACUUUAAUACACAUAUUUUGUAACCGCAUAAUUAUUUGUUUACACAUAAUUGAGGCAUCUAAAUUAAUUUACAAUAUUAAAAUAAAACUAAUAAAAUUUUCUUCGUCAUCUUCCUUUGAUGGAAUAUCCAAAUUAAUUUUAAUGUAAUUUAAAUUAAUUUAUGAAUAUAAUUUUUUUAAUUUUUUAUUUUAAUUUAAUGUAAAAAUAAAAGAAAAUAAGUGAAGUAUGAAAUUGAAAAUAAUUUUGGAAAAAAAAUGGGUGAAAAUUUGGGUUCUGGAGGUAUUUUUAAAAGAAAAAUCGAAAACUGGGGAUCAAAACGCAAUUUAAAAAAAUUGUGCUACGUAGGAUGCCCAGUCAGCAGCCCCGACGAACCAGAACGCGCCGCGUGGCAAGAGAUGCUAACGUGGUGCCAUAUGGGAGACCACAAAGGCGAUCCACAUGCCCGCGAUCAGAAGGCCCAGAUUCGCUCCUGCGCGCACCGACGGUCCGAAUGCGUUCUCUCUCCAAACGCAAUUGGACGGUCAGAUUUAAACACGAUCAACGGUCCAGAUUCACUCCAUAUUUAAUCGCGAUCGAACGGUCCAGAUUAAACACGAUAGACAGCCCAAAUUAAAAUGGGACGAAUAUAAAUAAUUUUCUUCACACCAAACCUUAAUCCUAGCUGUCAGACACCCUCGCUGGAGAAGAAGACCCAGCCGCCGGGAAGGGAAGCCGCCGACACCCCCCCGCCGCGCCGAAGCCACUUCCAACUGCCAAAAGAAGUAAACAUUUCCCUCUUUGCUUGGAAUUCAAUUGUAAAUACAUCCAUAGCCAAAUCGGAGUAAAAGAACCGGCAGAUUGGCUGAAAACCGCAGGUAAAGUCCGACGCGGCCGCCGUAAAAAAUUAUAAAAAUAGCCUCCAAUAAGGCCCUUCCCGAUUCCCGUUUUGCGUAAUUCUUCCACUAUUGUAAUCACAGUUUCCUUCUAUUAUUUGAUUUCUUACAUAUGUCACACUACAUAUUUGAACUCGAACCUACUUCUCUUUAAGUUUGGUUUUACUGCUUCUGCAUAUUCUGUUCGUCUUUUUUCUAAUAAUUUCUUAGAUUUUUCAAAGAAGUUUGAGUUUUAAAACUAGUGCUAAAAGCACUUUCAACAUAGUUGCUCCCACUCUGCAAUUUUCUUGUCUCGCGCGACUUUAACGAACUCAUCAAUUGCUGAAUUGUAAGAAUAGACAAAUCUUUCAAAUCUUCAAUUACUGCAACAAAAUAUUCAUAUUUUCUAGGUAAGCUAAUUAAAAGUUUUUCUAUUAUCUUUUAAUCAACAAUUUUUUCAUCAUAAUUUCGCAUCUGGUUCACGAUCUCGAUCACGUUCGAGAAAUACUCCUUUAUUUUUUCGAAUUCCUUCAUCUGUAAAAUUUAAAGUUGUUUGUGCAAGGUCUGUAACUUUACGGCAAUCACCUUUGCAGAUCCCUGAAACUCUUUUUGCAAUAUAUCUCAUGUUUCUUUCGAUCUAAUUACACCAAUUAUCCGAGAGAACAUACUCUCUGCAACACCUUGUUGUAUAAGAAACAAGGCUCUCACAUCCUUCAUCUGAUCUUCCUCCAACUUCUUUGUUUCUACUGGUGCUAGUUAAUGUCCGUCCAUAAACAAAUUGAGAAUAGUCAUUCUCAACUAUAUCCCACAACCUUUGUGAUCAUAGCAACGUUCGAAUUUUUAUCUUCCAUACAUCAUAAUUUUCACCAAAAAUGGAAACCAUUGUCUGCACCAUACUUACACCAACACCUGAAGCCAUCAAUUAAAAAUGUUUCUUCUUUCACGAACGUAAAUUCACUAAUUCGUUAACGUCCAUCCUUGAACCAAGUUUUGAUACCAAUUGUUGAAAAUAAACUGAAGAUAAAAAGGUUUUACUUAUGCAAAAAUAUAAAAUUUAAGAUAAUUAGAGAGAUAUAUUGAAAAUAGAAAAUAUAUUGUAUUCAAUCUAAAUGGGAUGCUAUUAUAAAACAAUACACAGCCUAUAUAGGCAGCAAAAAACCUUUAUUAAUUUUUCUAUUGGUAACUAUCCAUUUAUUUAUUUAAUGACUAUUAAAUUCUGUUAUUUUACUUUAAUUUAAAUUUUUUUGUGAUAGACAAUUUAUUUUUUUAACUAAUAAUUUAAUAAAAAUAUUGUCAUUAUUCUAAUUCUAAGCAAAAAAAUCAGACUUUGAUCACUCAACGAACGCAAGUUUUAUCAAGUUAUCAGGUCUUUUAGUCUGGUAAAGAUCUAGUCCGGUAUUUUUGUGAGACAAUUUAUUUUUAUAGCAUUAUAAGAUGUAUAGAUUAAUAAAGUAAUGAGAACUCAUUACCAUUUUAUUCCAUUCUUGUUUGAUUCUACGGACAAAACUCAAAAGACACUAUUAAUUUAAAAAACUUUGUCAAGGUUGAAGCUGUUGACAAAGUUGGUGGCAUCUGGGUUUUCAAUGUAAAUAGAAGGUUAAAUUCAAGAUCUUCUGAAUAAAUGGAUAGAUUAUCACAUUAAAUUCAUUUUGGACGAUGGCACCAACUUUCUUGCAGUGGUUUAUGCCAAUCCGCAGGAACUGGAGAGGCAUAUUUUGUAUGGGAAAAAUUGAUUCUAUCGUCUGAUUCUACAUAAUUACUUAUUGAAAUUCUAAUGCUACCAGGAGGUAUACGUGUUUGUCGGUAAAUUAAUCAGGUCAUAAUUUCACUUGCGUGAUUUAUGUUCUAAUCCAAGUGCAAAUGUGUGUGAAAAUGAUACUAUGCUAUUGUGGUAGAAAGCAAACACAGGCCACAAGGAAUAACAAGACUCAGUCGAUUGGUUGAGGCCAUCAAGUUUACAAGAAUUACCCUACUAAUGCCAUAUGGGCACCAAUGCACAAUGUCCUUACUAAAACUCUUUAGGAUUCCUUACCGUGAUGAGAUGAGAUAUAAGGAUAGCCAUGAAGGAAUAACUCCAAAAUUGUUUGAGAAAUGACAACAAUGAGUAGUCAUGAUCCAUUUCUAUGCCAAACUAGACCAUAGUUAAAGCUCCAACCAGCUCAAGGAUACAAAACAACUCCAACACAAAAAGAAAUUACUUGCCUUAUCUACAGCACAAUUCCAUUCAAUUUAUCCUGCCACACACCUUCAACCACAAGUAAUAAAUACUCAUUCAUAUUCUUCACCCAUAGUUAAAGCUCCAACCAGCUCAAGGAUACAAAACAACUCCCAACACAAAAAGAAAUUACUUGCCUUAUCUACAGCACAAUUCCAUUCAAUUUAUCCUGCCACACACCUUCAACCACAAGUAAUAAAUAUUGUUAUUCACAUAUAUUGACCAAAAAACCUAUAUCUCAAACAGAUUACACGAACGUAACUUUUACCCAACAAGGUCAGAGUCCUCAUUCCCAAACUCAAUAUAGCCCUAAUAUUUUAAUCCUAGCAUCUCAACUGACAAUUUGGAAGAGAGACAAAAUAUGGAAACAAGAGGCACUCAAAAUCCUCAAAGUAUCCCUCCUCCUCCCUCUCUUCCCCAGAUGAUUUAUCAGAGGGACAGGAAAUAUGUGAUCGAAUUUCAACUAAAGUGAAAACAUCAACACUGAACCGAGCCCAUCCACAUUUCCAACAGCCAUAUUCAUGUUUCGAGCAUGCCAAAAAGUUCUAACACAGCGUUACCCCAUUAAGAACUUUCAAAUUUUAAAUAUUACCUUGAAGCCCUGCCCAUUUAAACGUUCCAAUUUCAAAGAGACAUCCUAGAAGAAAUAUGAACUCAUUAUCUUAAAUUAUACCGCCUCUACUUUUAUCUCUACCUUGUCCUUCGCUGAAUUUUUAAAGUAUAUAGGAAUUAAGUGAAAAAGAAAAAAGCCAAAAGAUAGAGUCGAAGUAUUUCACACCCUGAACCAAAGGCUUACAUAUAUCAUCUAACAAUCAAACCCUGUGGAAAUACUAUGAUUGUAUCCAUUAUAAAAAAGGAAGUUAGAGUCUUCACCUAGUUGGAUAUGCCAAGCUACAAUCCCAGAAUGUUGGGGAAGCUUCUCUUGUGAUCCUUUGGACUCUAUCCGAGGACUUCUUCUCAGAAGAAAUCCCAGGUCACCCGUGAAUUUCCUCCUCUGUAAACCUGAAAUCCAAAUUCAAGAGGAUACCCUCGUCCCUUGAUGCCCUAAACCACCUCUUCUUCUCAAUCUCACUCUUUUCUCAUUCUUGAAGUUCAUAAGGCUUUCGUCUUUCGUAAAAGUUCUCCCUUUCACCUUCAUUGCCUCUUUUUCUUCUUAGAACCCUCUACGGUUUCUCUCAAGUUGCCCCCUCUGUCUGAUGUCCUUGGCUUUUAUAGGCAAGGCAUGGUUUACUAACGAAGCUUCCCCUGCUUUCCUCUUCCUUCUUGGCCUCAGUGGAGCGCAGAAGACGUCGAGCUUCGAGACUUCUUCCUCAACCUGGUCAAUUCCCUCUCUUCUUUUCGAUCGCUGCACAUCUUCUUUCUUUGGUUUCGAUAAUUUACGGUCAGAGCCUCAACCUUAUACCUUGCCGCUGUCUACCUCCAGCUCCUUCCUCGUGCAGCAUACGUUCACCAAAAUCAUGCUUGGUUCAAACCAUGCUAUCUCCUGCUUGCCUCUCUUCCUUCUUUGGUGCAAAAGGUUCAUGUGAAGAGACCACGGAACCCAGCUUCUCUUUGACAGUGCGGAUACGAGCCUCCUAGUAGGGAAGCUUGUCACCACCAAGCUUCAAGAGAAGCAUUCCCCUUCCAAUGAAACGAUGGCGUUUCACCGAGGGAUCCUUCUUCCUUUCUUUGUCUAAAACAAAAAGGCAUUAGGCCUUCGGGCCGGAUUUUAGAGGUUUCGCGAUGGGCGUUUUGAGCAAGUAGGAAUUGCAUGGGUUUGGUUGGGUUUAAGAGUUUAAAAGGGCUAACGGGGUGGGUUGGGGUUUUAAAUGGUUAUAAUUUUUUAU